rnacentral:misc_RNA from 1 species
UGGGCAAGGGCGGCGUGGCGA